rnacentral:misc_RNA from 1 species
GGGUGAAGAUGGGUUCUAUCUUUUUUUGUUUUCAUCCAUUAAUACAUACUUCUAAGCUUGAUUCCUCAAAGACCCAUGUUUUGUUUAGCUCUUCUUUGAGUUCAACUCUAAAAACCCAAUCUUUAUUGAAAUACACAGCAAGAACUCAGUUUGUUUGUUCUUCUUCAUCUAAGGAUGGCUUUGAGUCUUCUGGUGAUAGUAAUACAAGUAAUUUCUGCAUCAUUGAAGGACCCGAGACCGUUCAAGAUUUUGGUCAGAUGCAGUUUCAAGAAAUCCAGGAUAACAUUAGGAGCAGGCGCAACAAAAUCUUCCUCCUUAUGGAAGAGGUACGUCGGCUAAGAAUACAACAAAGGUUAAAGAACUCUAACACUAGAGGUGAGACCGGUGAAGAUGAAAAUGAGAUGCCAGAUAUCCCAUCAACGAUACCAUUUCUUCCUAACAUGACUCCAAAGACACUAAAGCAGCUUUAUCUUACAAGCUUUUCAUUUAUAGCUGGGAUUAUGGUCUUCGGUGGAUUACUUGCCCCAGUACUUGAGCUGAAAUUAGGUCUAGGAGGCACCUCAUACGAAGAUUUUAUACGUAACAUGCAUUUGCCUAUGCAAUUGAGCCAGGUCGACCCCAUAGUGGCGUCCUUUUCAGGCGGGGCAGUGGGAGUCAUCUCAGCCCUCAUGCUAAUAGAAGCUAACAAUGUAGUCCAACAAGAGAAGAAAAAGUGCAAAUAUUGCUAUGGGAGUGGGUACUUGGCAUGUGCACGAUGUUCAGCAAGCGGUAAAUGCCUCUAUACUGAACCAAUUUCAGUGAAUGGUUCUUAUCAAUCGUUGCGUGCACCAACUCUUAAAAGAUGUGCGAAUUGCUCCGGGACUGGAAAGGUAUGAAACAUGAUCAUCUCCCUACUUCAUGCACUCAACAGUCAUAUUAUAUCAGUUCAAUAAGUAGUAACUUUACAAGAAAAAA